ensembl:lncRNA
GCUCAAUGCCUGUUUACCAGGUUGCCAUGUGGGCACAUAUGCAUAAAAAUGGGUGCUUGGGAAACAGUAGAGAAAGUGAUACUUAGGAUUGCACAACAUUAAGUAACCAUGAACAUAAGGUGGCACAAAGUCUGGGGCUUUGAUGUGUUGGUUCAGGCCCACCAUAAGCGAUAGAUGGCCACACAAACACUGGAGUGUUACUUAAUUCUUUGUAAAGGAGAUACCAUCACAUCUCGUUGACCAUCAGAAUGCAAAUCCGUGUAACUUUGACAAGAACAAACUGUAUAACUCAAGAAGAUAUAAAAAAGUAACUACAUUUGGUAAUCAAUCAGGAGAGAUUUGCUACAACGAUAUGGCAUCUAUAGCAAGAUACUAUAACACGAGUGUCUCAUACCAUCCCUUCCUGCAUUUUUGGAAAUCAGAUCUUCAAUUCUAGGAUGAAAAACAUGUUAAAACCUUGAAAUAUUGAAUAAGCACAAAACCGUUACGGUCUACAGUGCAAAAACACGGAUGUUAAUGAGAUACAAUAGAUCAAGAAAGAAAGACUUUGUAGAAGCUGUGCUCCACCAUCAAAGAAUGCGUAUUGUCAUCAUUAAAAUGUCAUAUACUUCAAACCUAACAGUAAAGCUUCUUACCAUGAAUACAGAGGUGUUCAUCUUUUGUUAUGGGAUGACUUGUUGAAGUGGAUGAAGUUAUCAUUCUGGCUAGAAGAAACAGCUGUCUUUCAUUUUGCACAUAGAAUAUAUCUAUAGAGAGAACAAUGAGACUGUUUUACUUGACCAUUCAAUUUGGCCUGGAAACAGUGCCGAAGUCCUUUGUGUAUCUAUGAAAUGGUUAUCUCAACCUCUGGAAAGAUUUUUUUUUGUGAGAAUGAUAUGAAGUUUUCCCACUUAAUAUUUUUUCGGGGUUACGGAGUUUUCCAAGUAAAGAAGUUAAAUGAAUUGGAUGCAAAACAUACAAGUGCAUUUUGCCUGGUAUCUAUAGCCUGUUGUCUGAAAGAUCCUAUGUGUUUGACAUAAUAGACAAUGAACUUCCUUCUGCUUCCAGUUACACUCAUAUACGUCUGGAGUAACACCUUCGGAAUCUGAGAUGAGUUCUGCCUCAAUCUCUCUCUUUUUAGAUGCUGGACAAAGAAUAAAUACAAUGGCUGAACGGCUAAUGUUGCAUGUGCACCUUGGCAAUAGGACAAAGAUUUUCCAGUGAGUUUGGGAAAGUUUUCAACUUUAGUGUGGGCAUGGCUCCCCUGAGGCCUUCCUAACGCUUCCCUGCCCACCUGGGAAGCCAGCAUCAUGGACCCCAGGCCCUACCAUGCCAAACGGACAGGCAAAGUUGGUGCACAGAUGGGGACUGCUGGAUGCUAAAAAGGUGCCACUACCUGCCCAUGUUGUGGAGCAGCCCGUUAUUUCAAGGUGCUGGGUUCAUUGUCAAUUAGAGUGGCAGCAACGGCGAGCAGCAGCUGUCACAGAUGGCUGGGCUCCAGUCUCCUUGUGGAAAUGGGAUCAGAGCCAACUCAAAUCUUUUCUUUCCUCUUAAAAAAAACAAAAAACAAAAAAAUCAAUAAAAAGGAAAAGAAAAAAGAUCCCCAAAUCAACAUGCAGUUGUCGGUUAAGACAAUUAGGGAGAAGUAGCAUAUCUACAAAGGCAUCGCUUAUCUGUUCUCUAUUAACCCCUACAUUCAAAUUUUUGAAGUCAAGAUUUUGUUUAUUUAUUACUUAUUUCAAACUUUUUUUAGGAUGUCCAACUCAGGAGACAGUUUAUGUUAAAUCUUUGUUCCGAGAGGAAUUUACAAAAUGCUUUGCUGAUAACUGAAACAACUUAACUCAGUUAUUAGAUUUUUAAUUAGAGAACUCUUGCAGAACCAUUCAAUUUUUAGUUCAGAGCAAAGAACAUUAAAAUGCAUCUAAGACUGACCUUGCUGUUUCUGGUAAAGUCUGAUUACAUUGAGAUUAUAUUCAAUCUGUGUUAAAGAAGAGUCAUAGCACCCUUCCCAAUCUCAUAUAGAAAAGAUCCGAGGUGAUAUCUAACUAA